UUAAAUUGAAGAGUUUGAUCAUGGCUCAGAUUGAACGCUGGCGGCAGGCCUAACACAUGCAAGUCGAGCGGAAACGAGUUAACAGAACCUUCGGGGGACGAUAGCGGCGUCGAGCGGCGGACGGGUGAG
rnacentral:rRNA from 1 species